rnacentral:rRNA from 1 species
UGUAAGCGUAUACCAAAGUUGUUGCAGUUAAAACGCUCGUAGUCGGAAUUUGGCAGUUCCGGAUGUGUGCACGUCGUGUGCGCACUUCGCGGGGAUUGCUUUUGUGGUCUUGCGUAGGAUGAGGCACUUUUAUUAGUGAACGUCCUCACGCAACCACUUUUUACUGUGAGAAGAUCAGAGUGCUCAAAGCAGGCAUUUGCCGUGAAUGUAUUAGCAUGGAAUAAUAGAAUAGGACUCGGUUCUAUUUUGUUGGUUUGUUGGGACUGAGUAAUGAUUAAGAGGGACAGUUGGGGGCAUUUGUAUUUCGGCGCUAGAGGUGAAAUUCUUAGAUUGCCGAAAGACAAACUGCUGCGAAAGCGUCUGCCAAGGAUGUUUUCAUUGA